UUUUAGUCCGUAAUUGCUGGAAAUAUUCUGACCUUAGAACACAUGGCGUAAAAACCAAGGAAUUGCAUGAUCUAGCGUUAUCUCUAUACGUUUGGGUAGCUAGGAUUGGAUUUCUCUAUUUCUUUAUGCAAUUGACAAUUGUUUUGAUGCCUAUGGCCCAAGGACGUUCCUUGACAAUUUGUUAAUUAGUAAUUGAUUAGAGGACGUUCCCUAAUUAAUUUAAUCAUAAGGAGAGACAUGGUGGUGAGAAGCGUCUUUCACCCCAUAACUAAUC
rnacentral:lncRNA from 1 species